rnacentral:rRNA from 1 species
GGGUUGUGAGGUUAAGCGACUAAGCGUACACGGUGGAUGCCCUGGCAGUCAGAGGCGAUGAAGGACGUGCUAAUCUGCGAAAAGCGUCGGUAAGGUGAUAUGAACCGUUAUAGCCGGCGAUGUCCGAAUGGGGAAACCCAGUGUGAUUCGUCACACUAUCGUUAACUGAAUACAUAGGUUAACGAGGCGAACCGGGGGAACUGAAACAUCUAAGUACCCCGAGGAAAAGAAAUCAACCGAGAUUCCCCCAGUAGCGGCGAGCGAACGGGGAGCAGCCCAGAGUCUGAAUCAGCUUGUGUGUUAGUGGAACGGUCUGGAAAGUCCGACGGUACAGGGUGAUAGUCCCGUACACCAAAAUGCACAGGCUGUGAACUCGAAGAGUAGGGCGGGACACGUGGUAUCCUGUCUGAAUAUGGGGGGACCAUCCUCCAAGGCUAAAUACUCCUGACUGACCGAUAGUGAACCAGUACCGUGAGGGAAAGGCGAAAAGAACCCCGGCGAGGGGAGUGAAAAAGAACCUGAAACCGUGUACGUACAAGCAGUGGGAGCACCUUCGGGUGUGACUGCGUACCUUUUGUAUAAUGGGUCAGCGACUUAUAUUCUGUAGCAAGGUUAACCGUAUAGGGGAGCCGCAGGGAAACCGAGUCUUAACUGGGCGUUAAGUUGCAGGGUAUAGACCCGAAACCCGGUGAUCUAGCCAUGGGCAGGUUGAAGGUUGGGUAACACUAACUGGAGGACCGAACCGACUAAUGUUGAAAAAUUAGCGGAUGACUUGUGGCUGGGGGUGAAAGGCCAAUCAAACCGGGAGAUAGCUGGUUCUCCCCGAAAGCUAUUUAGGUAGCGCCUCGUGAACUCAUCUUCGGGGGUAGAGCACUGUUUCGGCUAGGGGGUCAUCCCGACUUACCAACCCGAUGCAAACUACGAAUACCGAAGAAUGUUAUCACGGGAGACACACGGCGGGUGCUAACGUCCGUCGUGAAGAGGGAAACAACCCAGACCGCCAGCUAAGGUCCCAAAGUCAUGGUUAAGUGGGAAACGAUGUGGGAAGGCACAGACAGCCAGGAUGUUGGCUUAGAAGCAGCCAUCAUUUAAAGAAAGCGUAAUAGCUCACUGGUCGAGUCGGCCUGCGCGGAAGAUGUAACGGGGCUAAACCAUGCACCGAAGCUGCGGCAGCGACGCUUAUGCGUUGUUGGGUAGGGGAGCGUUCUGUAAGCCUGCGAAGGUGACCUGUGAGGGUUGCUGGAGGUAUCAGAAGUGCGAAUGCUGACAUAAGUAACGAUAAAGCGGGUGAAAAGCCCGCUCGCCGGAAGACCAAGGGUUCCUGUCCAACGUUAAUCGGGGCAGGGUGAGUCGACCCCUAAGGCGAGGCCGAAAGGCGUAGUCGAUGGGAAACAGGUUAAUAUUCCUGUACUUGGUGUUACUGCGAAGGGGGGACGGAGAAGGCUAUGUUAGCCGGGCGACGGUUGUCCCGGUUUAAGCAUGUAGGCUGGUUAUCCAGGCAAAUCCGGAUAAUCAAGGCUGAGGUGUGAUGACGAGGCACUACGGUGCUGAAGUAACAAAUGCCCUGCUUCCAGGAAAAGCCUCUAAGCAUCAGGUAACAUCAAAUCGUACCCCAAACCGACACAGGUGGUCAGGUAGAGAAUACCAAGGCGCUUGAGAGAACUCGGGUGAAGGAACUAGGCAAAAUGGUGCCGUAACUUCGGGAGAAGGCACGCUGGUGUGUAGGUGAAGUCCCUGCGGAUGGAGCUGAGACCAGUCGAAGAUACCAGCUGGCUGCAACUGUUUAUUAAAAACACAGCACUGUGCAAACACGAAAGUGGACGUAUACGGUGUGACGCCUGCCCGGUGCCGGAAGGUUAAUUGAUGGGGUUAUCCGUAAGGAGAAGCUCUUGAUCGAAGCCCCGGUAAACGGCGGCCGUAACUAUAACGGUCCUAAGGUAGCGAAAUUCCUUGUCGGGUAAGUUCCGACCUGCACGAAUGGCGUAAUGAUGGCCAGGCUGUCUCCACCCGAGACUCAGUGAAAUUGAACUCGCUGUGAAGAUGCAGUGUACCCGCGGCAAGACGGAAAGACCCCGUGAACCUUUACUAUAGCUUGACACUGAACAUUGAGCCUUGAUGUGUAGGAUAGGUGGGAGGCUUUGAAGCGUGGACGCCAGUCUGCGUGGAGCCAACCUUGAAAUACCACCCUUUAAUGUUUGAUGUUCUAACGUUGGCCCCUUACCGGGGUUGCGGACAGUGUCUGGUGGGUAGUUUGACUGGGGCGGUCUCCUCCCAAAGCGUAACGGAGGAGCACGAAGGUUAGCUAAUCCUGGUCGGACAUCAGGAGGUUAGUGCAAUGGCAUAAGCUAGCUUGACUGCGAGCGUGACGGCGCGAGCAGGUGCGAAAGCAGGUCAUAGUGAUCCGGUGGUUCUGAAUGGAAGGGCCAUCGCUCAACGGAUAAAAGGUACUCCGGGGAUAACAGGCUGAUACCGCCCAAGAGUUCAUAUCGACGGCGGUGUUUGGCACCUCGAUGUCGGCUCAUCACAUCCUGGGGCUGAAGUAGGUCCCAAGGGUAUGGCUGUUCGCCAUUUAAAGUGGUACGCGAGCUGGGUUUAGAACGUCGUGAGACAGUUCGGUCCCUAUCUGCCGUGGGCGCUGGAGAAUUGAGGGGGGCUGCUCCUAGUACGAGAGGACCGGAGUGGACGCAUCACUGGUGUUCGGGUUGUCAUGCCAAUGGCACUGCCCGGUAGCUAAAUGCGGAAGAGAUAAGUGCUGAAAGCAUCUAAGCACGAAACUUGCCCCGAGAUGAGUUCUCCCUGAGACUUUAAGUCUCCUGAAGGAACGUUAAAGACGAUGACGUUGAUAGGCCGGGUGUGUAAGCGCAGCGAUGCGUUGAGCUAACCGGUACUAAUGAACCGUGAGGCUUAACCUUACAACGCCGAAG